rnacentral:lncRNA from 1 species
CAGGCUAUAAAAAAGGGACAGGCUGUGUUAAAAAUGCUACAUAAAGAAUAAUCUAAAAAGGCUGAGAGUGAGGUGGGAGAGGACUCUAAAGAAAACAAGAACAAGAAAAGAAUUUCUGCUUUUAGUGGCCAGACCUUCAACUCUUGCUCACAGAAAGAGAGUGCUCAUUAAGAAAAGUUCUUUAGGGAGCCUGCCUUAUCUGCUGGCCCUAUUCCAAGAGAGGAGUCAGUCUCCAACAUUAAAUUACUUUUCUCACUGGUCAUCAUUAGCAUGGAGAAUGCCUUUGAUCCUAUCCCCACAGCAGCCAGUUCCUGCCCCUGUGGUAGAAAUGUCCCAGGUUGGGGGGCAGAGAAGCCCCUAAAAUAGUUUCAAAGAAUCUACAACAAACUGUAAAGAACUUUGUUUUGUUUUGCCAGUUUGAAUUUAGAAUUCAGGCUUUGGCUGUGGCCGAGGUCAGGAUUAAUGUUUUCGUUUCCAUGGGCCCUUAGCCCACUGAGACAGUUUGGUAAAGGACUACUACUACAGUCCUGAUAUUCAGAGACAUGGAGAGAGCUAUAGUUUUUUUAUUAAAGGUUGGUACUAUAGUAUUAACAAUCUCUUUAUUAGAUAUAAGAGACAAGAAGCCCCAGGUGAACUGGUUACAAUUCUUUUGUCAGCUGCUUAGUAUCUAACACUCAGGUUCUAUCGUCUCUCCAUCCUUUUAUUAUUAGUUGUUACUGAAAGCCUAGUGCCAUUUAGAGGAUGGGUCUCUUGAGUGAUAAAGCCACUGAGCUGGCACUAAAGGAAGGUACUCCUUAAGAGAAAAUCUAAGUCCAGAGAGACAACCGGUAACAGAUAGACUGCCCCUCUGCUCACUUUUCUGUUUCACAGACACAAGGUCUUUUUGUCCCAAGAAAGCCUCCUGGCUUAGCUGUGUGACUAAAUGCUAUUUGCCCUCUUCAGUGGACCUCUAUUCUCAAGAUUCUCUUGUUUUCUCACCAUCCCAUUUGAGAUGCUUGUUAGUAACUGUUACAGGUCUUCUUUACCACCGAGGAAAGACAAAAUCCUACUAGAGGCCAGAAAAAGUGUUCCAGAGAUGGAUGGAAGGCCCUCACUUCUGCCUGCUCUUUUCAGACGCCUAAAGGUAGGGAGUGCCAGGUCUGCCGCCAGGCUCCAAGGGUGGGUCUCUGAGGGGCUAAAAAAUGCCCCACCAAUCUGGCUAAGAUAAAGAAAGGAUAUGAAGAAAAAGUUACAAAAAUUUAAAGGGUUAAGUUAAGUUGCUGAGAGUUAGUACAAGUUACAGAGAAAGAGGUAAAAAAAACAGAAAGCU